AUGUCUGUCUUCAGUCUUCCCAAGGGGAUUUGUAAAGAAAUUACAGACAGUAUUGCUCAGUUCUGGUGGGGGGAUGAUGAGGAGCAUAAAAGAAUGCAUUGGAUGUCAUGGUGGAAAUUGUGCAUCCCAAAGGGUGAAGGAGGUAUGGGCUUUCGCGACCUAUAUUCGUUUAAUUUAGCUAUGUUGGCAAAACAAUGUUGGAGACUCAUCACUGUCCCAGAUUCCUUGGUAGCAAAAGUGUUGAAGGCCAAAUAUUACCCCAAUGGAAGUAUACUAAGUGCUACCCCAAAAAAUGGGUCAUCCUUCACAUGGCAAAGUAUACUGAAGGGUCUUGAUACAUUCAAAAGAGGAUAUAUUUGGAGAAUUGGUACGGGUGAAGAGGUAAACAUUUGGAAGGACCCUUGGAUCCCU
rnacentral:rRNA from 1 species